UAAAAUUGGUUUGAAGUUUCUGUGGAGUUGAUUCCAACAAAUUUACAAUCAGCAGCUUUUAUUUUACUCUCUGGAAUGCACUGAAGAGUUGUUACAAUUAAAUCUAACCAAAAGACUUGUUGGAUAUAAUGAAGAAAUUGUGGAUAUGAAGUUUUUGGGGGAUGAUGAAAAAUUCCUAGCCCUUGCUACAAAUCUUGAACAGGUUUUUCUUUAAGCAUUGCAAUCUCACCGCUUCAAGGUUAGUAGAAACAAGUAUUUCAUUUUUUCUAAUUCAUUAUUUAUUUGUAUUUUCCAUGAAUAUUGUAUUCUUUUUCAUGUGUUAGUGUAUUUUAUUUUGUUUAGGAAUAUUUUUGAAUGGAUAAAUCUUGGAUAACUAAGCCCUGAAAUACAGUUGAAUACUCAAUUGGUUUGCAAAAAUUCUUAGAUUUUGCUUUUGAGAAUGAGGCCUCUGGAGACACAAUUCGAUGUCCAUGCCCCAAAUGUGGGUUUGUGAAAUGGCAAGCUAGAGGCAUAGUUGAGGAGCACUUGAUUUUAAAACAAUUUCCCAUAAAUUAUGUUAUUUGGAAUCUUCAUGGUGAGAGGCAAAGACAAGAUAUUUCUAGAAAUGAAGAUGAGUCACAA